rnacentral:rRNA from 1 species
AUGUCCCUCGCGCUCCUCGACUGCGACGGCCACCCCGCUCUGGGCCACGUCUGGCGUUUCCACCUGGGCGUGCCGCGCGCCGAGGACGAACGCUUCCUGGUGGAACUGGGCGUGGAGGAGGCCUCGGUCCGCCGCGCCGACCGCUCCCGCCUCGCCGGGGCUCUCACCGAGUGCUCCGCCAUCUACAACAGCCGUGUCACCUGGGUGACCUCCGACGGCGCCGAGGACAUCCUCCACCUGCUGGACUGCUUCCAGAACCCCCUCCUCGUGCGUAGAACCACCGACCGCCGGCAGCUCAUCCGGAGCUCGCGGACUUUCUUUCCGGAGCUGUACGACCUCAGGUUUCUGGCCGAGUGGCGGACCCUGUCCGGGGAGGAGCCUCCGCUGCUGGCGGCCGCCAAGUCCGGAAUGCCGGACGCGCUCCUCCGCGGCUUCCUUGCGCUGAUGAGAGAGCCGGCGUUCGCGGAGCGGAUGGUGGGGUACAACGGGAUGCUGUUCGGGCUCGGUCACUGUGACACCUCCGACAUCCAGCGGUUUUACAUGAGCUAUGAGGAGCAGGAAAACACGGGUCAAGGAGCAAAGGGCUGUGAAUCAAAACAGCUCUCUCAGCACUUCUAA